UCCACCUGUUUUUGACCUUUAUAUAAGUAGAAACAGUUCUGCCCUGAAAUUCAUUUUUAUAACUUAUCUGGUACACAUGGACAAGACUUUCUCAAGGACCAUAGAUGCCAGGAGUAGAAUUUCUGGGACAUAGAGCAUUCAUGUCUUCAAUUUUUCUGAGCAGUUUAUCAGUUUACACUCCUGCCAGAGUCUAUGAGAGUUCCUAUUCUCCACAUCAUUGAGGACAUUUGGUAUUGUCAGACUUCUUAAUUUGAGCUACUCUGAAUACGGGAUCUAGUUUCCCCACCAGGGAACGAACCCCUGCCCUACAGUGGAAGUGUGGGAGUCCUAACCACUGGAGCAUCAGGGAAGUCCCCAGUUCAAGUUUUCAUUCAAUUUUCUGUCGGUGACUCCCAGAUGUCAGGUUUGGGCAAUUCAGUGGUCGAUGAUGCUAUUUAUUGAGAGAAAACACAAGAGAGGAAGAAGUUUCGAGGAAGAAAAUGUUCAUCGGAUUCUUCCAAUUUGAGAUUCCUGUGAGACCCUACCUGAGUAGGUUAAGUACAAUAGGCAGUUUUUUAUAUAUAACUGGAGAAAGUUCUGGGCUGGAAAUUUGGGCAUCAUCAGGAUACAGCCUGAGGUCAAAACAGUGGAUGAAAUUAGACUGAGACAAGUAAAUAAAAGCGAAGACAAGCCCAAAUAGUUUUUUUAGCAAGGAAGUCACAUGAACAAAUCUUGUUUAUUGGGAGACAACUCUGGCAGCAAUGUAGAAGAUUGACUGAUUUGGAGAAAUAGGUCGCAGAAAAUCCUACACGUGUAUUCAUGUUUUUAUUGAGUCAUCUUCCAAGUAUCACCACACACUUUGUGCCAGGGAUCACCAAGCCCAGGGAACACAGAGAUAAACCAGACCCUGUCCGUGACCUUGUGGGACUUUGGGGUCAGGAAGGAGUGAGAUUAGGUGGGCACACUGUGCUCUGGGAGCCCAGAGGAGGCAGAUAAGACCUGAUGCCACUGUGGGCUGGGGCUUCCAUAAUAGAAAGUAUGGCUGGGGGUUUCCUGGAGGUCUGGUGGUUGGGAUUUGGUGCUUUCACUGCCAUGGCCCAGGUUUAAUCCCUGACUGGGGAACUGAGAUCCCGCAAGCCACAAGUCACAGCCAACAACAAAAAAAAAGGCAAAGAAGAUAUGGGUAGAGGUAGGUCUUGAUGAACAACUAAGCAACACCUAGGUGAGUGAGGAACAGAAUAUUGUAGGCAGAGCCAGCAGGGUGGGUGAAGAUACUGCUAACUUAAAACGCUGCAUUCAGUAACUUCAUUGGUAUUCAGUGAGACUGGGGGAAUGGGUGCCUGUGUGGGGAAGGGAUGAGCUUGAAGAUCUGGAUAAGCUCCUGAAAAACUGGGAUGUGCUUAAAGGAGAUUGAAUUUUUAAAUUAAAUUAAAAUUUUUUACAGCAUUGCUCAGCCUGCGGGAUUUUAGUUCCCUAACCAGGGAUCGAAUCUGUGCCCCAAGCAGUGGAAUCUUGGAGUUCUCACCACUGGACUGCCAAGGAAUUACCAGGAGAUUGAAUUUUAUCUGAAAAAUGAGGCUUUGGAGGCCGGAUCUUAGUUCCCCAACCAGGGGUUGAACCUGCAUCCCCUGCAGUGGAAGCAUGGAGGAGUCUUAACCACUGGACUGCCAGGGAAGUCCCCAAAACAUACAUUUCUGUUGUUUAAGCUACCCAACCUGUGCUUUGUCACCAUGGCAGCCCUAGUGAGUUAACACUGAUGAUGAAGUUCUUGUGACAGAGGGACCUGUGGAUGGACUGUGCCCCAUUGGCAGUGGACAGUUGGAUGUGUGCAUCUCAGCCUCAUGGGGUGGUCUGGGCUGGGCUGGACAAAGUGGUUCUGGAGUUGUUGGACGAAAUGUGAUAUCGGAGUCUUUUGUCUGUGUCUCCACAGAAGACUAUGGAAAGUGAGAAGGAAGAAAACCAACCUUCACCGUCUUAUACUGUAUUCAGUCUGCAAGAACACUGUUGGUCGACUUCCCAGCAUUCACACACCCUUCCUUCUUCCUACCAGAGCCUCAGUUUUGUUCAGGUGUUUGCCCCCUCACCACUCAGCCCCUGAGAACCUUGGGAAUCUGACCCCACUCCCAGAUUGUUUCAUUGGAGCCAAUAUGGCCAACUCAUUCCUCUCUCCAGUGAUCCGUUCCACAACUUACACUGAAGGUAAUCACCUCAAGCCAUAUUCUGGUCACUGUCAUUGUUCUAGGGAUGGGCAGUAGUUCUCAAUAUCCCUUCCUCGCUUAGACUUCUCAAUUUUUGGCUGGGCGUUUGCCACUCUCCGCAUAAAGACUAUGUUUUCCAGCACCACUUGCAACUGUAUGUGGUCGUGGAGCAAGUUUUGACCAAUCAACUAUAGACAUGCUUGGUGAAGGCACUUCUGGGACGUAUUCUCAAAGGGGAAUCUUUUAUCUAUUGCUGCAUUAAAAAUUAUCCCAAAGUACGAACCUGGAAACAAGAAACAUUUGUUUCUUGAAGUUUCUGCAGGUUAGGAAUUCAGAAGCAACUUAGCUGGGUGGUUCUUCCUCAUGUGAUCAAGGUAUCAGCUGGGGCGACAGUCACCUCAAGACCCUGCUGAGGUGUGUGUGUGGAGGGAUUUGCAUCUGAGCUCACUCCUGUGGCUAUUGGCAGGCCUCGAAAGAUCCAUUUCCAAAUUCUCUCCAAUGAGGUUCUGCACAGGACAGCCUUCCAACAUGGCAGCUGGAUUUUCCCAGAGCGAGCCAUCCAAGGGAAAGAGAAAGCUAGCACAUAACACAGAACCACCGUCUUUUCAUGGACUAAAAGUAACAUUUUACCACGUCUCCUGUAUUAUCUCCUCUGUGUGCAUGGGCUCGGGUCACUCAGUCAUGUCCAACUCUUUUGUGACGCCAUGAACUGUAGCCCACCAGGCUCCUCUGUCUCUGAGAUUUCCCAGGCAAGAAUACUGGAGUGGGUUGCCAUUUCCUUCUCCAACUGAUCUUCCUGACCCAGGGAUUGAACCCAUGUCUCCUAUGUCUUCCCCAGAAGUGAAUAAAUAAGUCCAGGCCAUUCUCAGGAGAAGGGGUUAUACAAAGAUGUGAAUACUGGGAGACAGGGAUACCUGGCAGUCAUUACAGAAGCUGCUCACCAUAGAAUGGGGCUUCCCAGGUGGCGCUAGUGGUAAAGAACUGCCUCCCAGCAUAGGAGAUACAAGAGACGUGGGUUCAAUCCCUGGGUUGGGAGGAUCCCCUGGAGGAAGAAAUGGCAA